GAUGAACGCUAGCGGCAGGCUUAAUACAUGCAAGUCGAGGGGCAGCAUGAAUGUAGCAAUACAUUUGAUGGCGACCGGCAAACGGGUGCGGAACACGUACACAACCUUCCUAUAAGUGGGGUAUAGCCCAGAGAAAUUUGGAUUAAUACCCCGUAACAUAAUGAUGUGGCAUCACAUUAUUAUUAUAGCUUCGGCGCUUAUUGAUGGGUGCGCGGCUGAUUAGAUAGUUGGCGGGGUAACGGCCCACCAAGUCUACGAUCAGUAGCUGAUGUGAGAGCAUGAUCAGCCACACGGGCACUGAGACACGGUCCAGACUCCUACGGGAGGCAGCAGUGGGGAAUAUUGGACAAUGGGCGAAAGCCUGAUCCAGCCAUGCCGCGUGUGUGAAGAAGGUCUUCGGAUUGUAAAGCACUUUAAGUUGGGAGGAAGGGCGCUCGGUGAAUACCCAGGCGUCUUGACGUUACCGACAGAAUAAGCACCGGCUAACUUCGUGCCAGCCGCCGCCGUAAAAC
rnacentral:rRNA from 1 species